AGAGUUUGAUCAUGGCUCAGAUUGAACGCUGGCGGCAUGCCUUACACAUGCAAGUCGAACGGCAGCACGGGAGCAAUCCUGGUGGCGAGUGGCGAACGGGUGAGUAAUAUAUCGGAACGUGCCCAGUCGUGGGGGAUAACGUAGCGAAAGCUACGCUAAUACCGCAUACGAUCUACGGAUGAAAGCGGGGGACUCGUAAGGGCCUCGCGCGAUUGGAGCGGCCGAUAUCAGAUUAGGUUGUUGGUGAGGUAAAAGCUCACCAAGCCUGCGAUCUGUAGCUGGUCUGAGAGGACGACCAGCCACACUGGAACUGAGACACGGUCCAGACUCCUACGGGAGGCAGCAGUGGGGAAUUUUGGACAAUGGACGCAAGUCUGAUCCAGCAAUGCCGCGUGCAGGACGAAGGCCUUCGGGUUGUAAACUGCUUUUGUACGGAACGAAACGGUCUUCUUUAAUACAGAGGGCUAAUGACGGUACCGUAAGAAUAGCCCCGAUUCGCC
rnacentral:rRNA from 1 species